AUUGAACGCUGGCGGCAGGCCUUACACAUGCAAGUCGAGCGAGCGGCGGACGGGUGAGUAAUGUAUGGGGACGUGCCCGAUAGCGGGGGAUAACUACGGGAAACUGUAGCUAAUACCGCGUACCAUAGGAUGAGCCCAUUUUGGAUUAGGUAGUUGGUGAGGUAAAGGCUCACCAACCGACGAUCCGUAGCUGGUCUGAGAGGAUGACCAGCCACACUGGGACUGAGACACGGCCCAGACUCCUACGGGAGGCAGCAGUGGGGAAUAUUGCGCAAUGGGGGCAACCCUGAUGCAGCCAUGCCGCGUGAAUGAAGAAGGCCUUCGGGUUGUAAAGUUCUUUCGGUAGAGAAGCGUUAACUACAGAAGAAGCACCGGCUAACUCCGUGCCAGCAGCCGCGGUAAUUC
rnacentral:rRNA from 1 species